UCUGUCUUUUGUACCUGUGGUGAAGAGAAACAAUUCAUAUUUACAAACAUGGCGCAAAAAGAUGCCAGAAUUUACGUUGGUAAUCUUCCUCCAGAUAUAAGCGACAGGGACAUUGAAGAUUUAUUUGCAAAAUAUGGAAGAAUCCACUACGUAGACCUAAAGAACAGGAGAGGGCCACCGUUCGCUUUCGUUGAAUUUGCUGAUCCAAGGGAUGCUGAAGAUGCAGUCCAUUGUCGAAAUGGCUAUGGUUAUGAUGGCUACAACCUGCGAGUGGAAUUUCCUCGCGGUAGUGGAGGAUACAGAAUGGGUGGGAGUACACAACGUUCAGGUGGUAUGGGAGGCAGCAGAGGUAGCUUCGGCCAGGGACGUUUUUCCGCUUCACGUAGAUCUGAAUACAGAGUACUAGUAUCAGGGUUACCACCAACAGGAAGCUGGCAAGAUUUAAAGGACCACAUGCGUGAAGCUGGUGAUGUUUGUUAUGCGGAUGUCUAUAAAGAUGGCACAGGAGUGGUGGAAUAUCUACGACACGAUGACAUGAAGUAUGCGGUCAGAAAAUUGGAUGAUACAAAGUUCAGAUCACACGAGGGAGAAACAUCAUAUGUUAGAGUCAAAGAAGAUAGAGGAGGGCGUUCUCGUAGUCGAAGCCCAAGAGGGUCAUCUCCACGUUAUGGCCGGUCGCGUUCACGAUCAUAGGCUAAAGAAAAGUGCUGGUGAAUUUCAUAAGUGAGAUUGAUAUGAAACCUGGAUAAACGAGGAAGUCGUGUCACAUGGCAAUAAACAAGAUGUUGACAGUGUUUACUUGCUAGGGAGACAAUUAACUACGCUCUUCCAUCCCUGGACAUUACAGACUUUUCACUUUCUAGCUAAAGGAGGGCUUCAGAUUAUGGUCUAAGCUUGUUUUACUCUGGAAGGAGUGAGUUCACUCAGAGGAAGCAAAUUGAGAUAAUGGUAUUGGAUUCAAUCUUUGGAAAAACCAUUCUCCCCAAAUUCCACUUGGAUAGAAUCUUUCGGAACCCCUCCUCGGAUCAACAUAGCGGAAAUAAUUUCCUAUUUUGUCGACCAAAAAAUGGAUCAAAAUCUUUAGGAUCCUUUCUUUGGAUAACCUUGUUCUUGGAAAAAUAAAAUUUCUUUGGAAAAGGGAGAAAAAUUCAGGAUCCAACUCAAAAAUAUUCAGACAGGGGAGAGCUCUUGGGAUCUGGCACAGGGAGAGAUGGAAAGAUGGAAAAGAAAUGGAAUUUUUUUUCUUAAUAUUUCUUAGUUUUUUUUUCAAAUUGUUAAAUUUAUUCUGAAAUUAAUUUUCCCAUUCUAAAAGUCUUAUCUGAAAUUCUUUUGUUCUCGGUAACUUUAGUAGUAAAAUGAAUUUCUUAUAGCAUGUAUUUUCAUUUUGAAACUUCUGAUGUGUGUUUUUUUUUUUGAUAAUGUUUUAGCAGAAUAUUUGGAGGAAAAAGAAGUAAUGCACCACCAAAUAUUUUUGUUACAUUAAAGAAAACAAUAAGCUUCUUCUGGAUCUUCUCUGUGUUAGGAAAACCUUCCCCCCUCUGGCCUGGAAAACUGAAUCCAAUAUCAAAUCAAAGGAUCUUGUGGAUCUUUGGAUGGUAGGAUCACUAUAGGAUCAGGCUGUGUAUCGUGUACACAGUAGGAUUGCUAUAGGAUCACACUAGGAGGAAAGGAUCUGGCGGUGACCCUAUUCUGUAUAUUCUAGGAUCACUGAAGGAUCUUACUUGGAUCACUGAUGGAUCUAAGGAGUUAUCUCUAAAAAGUUAAGGAUUGCUAAUGGAUCUUGGGAUAUGUCUUUGAAAUACACUGGGAUUACUAAUGGAUCUUAAGAUAUGUGUAUUAAAACUACUAGGAUCACUUUCAGUCUUGUCCAGUUUGCUGCAAAAUCUGACAAGUUUAGAUUUUAAUGGCUAGGACUAGUAAUACCCUACUCUGAUCACUAAUGGAUUGUCUCAAAUAUCUUAACUUAAAAUCACUUGGAUCAAUGACAGAUAUUGCUUGGAUCUCACAGUAUGUCUAGCUUAGAAUACCAGCAUUGCUAACAGGUCGAGAUUGGAUAUAGGAUACCACUAGCUUAAAAAUACUUUAAUUUUGCUCGGAUUGGAGGAGAUAUAGCUAAUGACUACAGGGACUGCUGAUCAUGAGGGACCUUGCUUGGAUCUUAGGACAUCUAGCUUUUAAAUGGGACUGCUGAGGGAUCUUGUUCAGGAUCUUAAACACUCUAGCUUUAUGAUUAGGAUUCUAUGGGAUCUUGCUUGGAUCUUAUGAUACACCUAGCUUAUGAAUAGGACUGUGGAGUGAUCAAAUAGGACUGUUGAGGGAUCUUGUCCUUGGGAAACAUCUAGUUUAUGAAUAGGACUGUUGAGCAAUCUUGGUCGGAUCUUGGGAAACAUCUAGCUCAUCAAUAGCACUACUGAGGAAUCUUGCUUGGAUUUUAGGAUACAUCUAGCAUAUAAGUAAGAGUGCAGAGGGAUCGUGGGAUAAAUUGAACUGACAAUAGAUAGGACUGUUUGAUCUUUGGAUACAUCUAGAUUAGAAAUACUAGGACUGUUGACAGUUCUUGCUUGGAUUUUAUGUUCUUUCUAACUUUUGACCCCUCAUGUCGAUGCACCCAUCUCAAAUCAUGUAUCUUAAAAUGUAUGUCUCAAGUUAACCAUAACUAGUCCAGGAUUGUUGGUGGAUUUUGCUCCAAUUACUUUGGAUCAGGCAAUACAGCUUAUGAUGAAGAAGUAGGAUUGAUGAAGGAUAUCACUUUUAUCAGAAACCGAUGAUCUGAAGAAACCUGUUUAUCGGUGAUCAGGUUUCUUGAGAAUCUUUUGCACAAAGAUAUACAAACACAAUAUAACAGGAUCAUCACAAAUAUCUUUUGGGUAUGUUAAACCGAAGCAAAGGAACAAAUUUGUGGUGUAACUUUUCCAAGUAUGCUAGUAUUCACAUAGUUUCAAGAACUUCUAGAUAAUACACCAUUUGAUUUUGAUAGCUGGAAUAGAAUGUACCGUCAAAGAAAUUUGUAGCAUUUAGAUUCUACUCGAAGGUUCCAUAAAAUGAAAAUGUUCAUUGGAUUUCAAAAAGAGGCUUAAAUUUUUUUAAGUGAGAAAAGAUGCACAUAGAAAUUUUUUUUUUCUUAAAUUCAACUCUGGUUUUAAGCUGAUUUUGAAAAUCCUAUUAGUGACGACCAGAAAUAUGAUUCAGUUGAAUUCUUGUUUUCUAAUAAUUACGAAGUAAAUGCAUUUACAUUCAGUAAUUAUUCCUCUUGUUAUUGUUUAAAUGUGUUAUAAAACUCUCAAGACCAAUAAAAGAUACAAAACUA